GAUGAACGCUGGCGGCGUGCCUAAUACAUGCAAGUCGAGCGAACGGACGAGAAGCUUGCUUCUCUGAUGUUAGCGGCGGACGGGUGAGUAACACGUGGAUAACCUACCUAUAAGACUGGGAUAACUUCGGGAAACCGGAGCUAAUACCGGAUAAUAUUUUGAACCGCAUGGUUCAAAAGUGAAAGACGGUCUUGCUGUCACUUAUAGAUGGAUCCGCGCUGCAUUAGCUAGUUGGUAAGGUAACGGCUUACCAAGGCAACGAUGCAUAGCCGACCUGAGAGGGUGAUCGGCCACACUGGAACUGAGACACGGUCCAGACUCCUACGGGAGGCAGCAGUAGGGAAUCUUCCGCAAUGGGCGAAAGCCUGACGGAGCAACGCCGCGUGAGUGAUGAAGGUCUUCGGAUCGUAAAACUCUGUUAUUAGGGAAGAACAUAUGUGUAAGUAACUGUGCACAUCUUGACGGUACCUAAUCAGAAAGCCACGGCUAACUACGUGCCAGCAGCCGCGGUAAUACGUAGGUGGCAAGCGUUAUCCGGAAUUAUUGGGCGUAAAGCGCGCGUAGGCGGUUUUUUAAGUCUGAUGUGAAAGCCCACGGCUCAACCGUGGAGGGUCAUUGGAAACUGGAAAACUUGAGUGCAGAAGAGGAAAGUGGAAUUCCAUGUGUAGCGGUGAAAUGCGCAGAGAUAUGGAGGAACACCAGUGGCGAAGGCGACUUUCUGGUCUGUAACUGACGCUGAUGUGCGAAAGCGUGGGGAUCGAACAGGAUUAGAUACCCUGGUAGUCCACGCCGUAAACGAUGAGUGCUAAGUGUUAGGGGGUUUCCGCCCCUUAGUGCUGCAGCUAACGCAUUAAGCACUCCGCCUGGGGAGUACGACCGCAAGGUUGAAACUCAAAGGAAUUGACGGGGACCCGCACAAGCGGUGGAGCAUGUGGUUUAAUUCGAAGCAACGCGGAGAACCUUACCAAAUCUUGACAUCCUUUGACAACUCUAGAGAUAGAGCCUUCCCCUUCGGGGGACAAAGUGACAGGUGGUGCAUGGUUGUCGUCAGCUCGUGUCGUGAGAUGUUGGGUUAAGUCCCGCAACGAGCGCAACCCUUAAGCUUAGUUGCCAUCAUUAAGUUGGGCACUCUAAGUUGACUGCCGGUGACAAACCGGAGGAAGGUGGGGAUGACGUCAAAUCAUCAUGCCCCUUAUGAUUUGGGCUACACACGUGCUACAAUGGACAAUACAAAGGGCAGCGAAACCGCGAGGUCAAGCAAAUCCCAUAAAGUUGUUCUCAGUUCGGAUUGUAGUCUGCAACUCGACUACAUGAAGCUGGAAUCGCUAGUAAUCGUAGAUCAGCAUGCUACGGUGAAUACGUUCCCGGGUCU
rnacentral:rRNA from 1 species